UUUGGAUGGUAGCACACACUAAAAGACACUAAAUUCAUUGAUUUGAUGGGAUCUUUGAGAUGCAGGUGUUGUACUCCAGAUAGUCGGGAUCCAGACUUGUCAAUACUCAGUAGGACAACAAUUUGGCUUGUAAGCUCUCCAGCUGAAAUCUAUCAAUGAUAAUACCACACAACAUGGCAACAGUGAGCUUCAAGCAAUGUAGAGAUGUCACCUCCAUCACUGUAGGCUAGGGAUUACUGAUGAUGCCUCCAGCACUUGAAUAAGAUGAGGUUUGCAGCAAACGAAGGUCAUGCUUCAGGUUGCACUGGCUGGCUUUGUCCAUUAAAUUCAGCGAGUGUAUGUAUACAUGCAUUUGUGUGGCUGUGGAGCUCUUCAGAUGUGCACAUCUAAUGAGAUCAUCAGCCCAUUUCACUGGACAGACUCAGUGGAGUCAAAAUUCAGCGGAGUGCCACAGUCUCGCUCAGCCAUUAGGCCAGGACUGCUUUAAUGGAGGCUGUCUAACAAGGGUUUUUUUAUGCCUUUUUUCAACUGUACAGUCCUUUGCAUGUGUUUCAUCUGAACAAAAGCAUCUGACUUGGACUCCAUAUGGGGUUCCAAGGUGCAGAAGCAAAAAAAAAAAAAGCCCUAACUUAGUAUUUCAUCUCAAUGCUUCAGGUGCUUUCUGGCAUGGAGAUUUGGCUGACAACAACAAGCAGAUGUUUUGGAGGACAGUGCAAGCAAAUAAGACAAGGAGCAAGGAUGAGUAUGUUAGUAGACACUACCAUUCAAUAGUUGGAGAGCGGGAUCGACUUGAGACGAUGAGAAGAUCUGGGAGUUUCUCUCUUCACAGAGCUCUUGACCGGCGCGGAGGCUGACAAUUUGUUGUCUAAUUACCUUUGGAGAGUUUAAUCACAGUCACCCCUCGCAGCUUCACAAAACCUUCUGGAAUACAACAGGAUUACUUAGUACAUGAAGAGAGUCUCCUGAGAGACUCGCAAGUAAAAGAGCAACAGCUGGUGAUGGUGAUUUUAACAAGUACGACAUGUUCAUGACCCUAUCCGUUAUUCCUAAGCAUUAGCUGCCUCGAAAAUCAGAAGUAAAGUAUAGGUUGGGUUGCGAGGUGAGCAAAGACAGCUCACUUUAAAGCUAAACCUUGACAGGAAUGUUAUUCCAGGACCAACAAGGAUCUUGGAUCCUGUCCUUCUUGGAGACAGGAGCUACAAGGAAAUGUUUAUCAUGUUUCCUGUUUCCUCUCCUUUCUUCUCAACCAGUCUGUUGUCUUUGGUUUUUCAUUCAUUAAUGCUGUUAUUAUUGUAAGUCUCUCCCCAUAGGAAAGGGAAAUGAAGAGAUCUCUUUAAUACCCCCAUUGUUUCUCCUAGACUGCAGAUGCAGAUGAGAUUAUAUCGAGCAAAUGGAGACUUUAGCGUACAGCUGCUGCUUCUGAGAUUUUAUUCCUGAGAAAUGGAUUUAAUUUAGAAGUCAACAUAUUAAAAAGUAAUUGUGUGGAAAAAGUUAAAGAAAUAUAGUUGUUUUGUAUGUAAAGUCAAAAUCGUGAGAUACAAAAUCAUGUUAAGAAACAAAUCAUAAUUAACUUUUUUAUUUU
ensembl:lncRNA